CUGGCGGUUACAAGCUAAGACAUGUUUUCCCGUCUUCGCAAGCGUUUUGGGAGGGGGAACGUCGAUUGUGGAGAGACUAGAGUGAAGGAGUCUGGCCUUUCGUCUCAAAGUAAUGAUGGACAAAGACAGCACUUCUGGGGAAUGUCGAGUAAGCUCUGAGCAGUAUAUAUUGAGCUUCCUGUCAGGGGGGCUGGAGGCUUACGCUGACCAUUCUAGCAAUGGGCCACAACAACUGGAGCAUCUGAAAAGGAAUUGAAUUUCCACGAAUAUCACAAUUCCUUAAAGUCAAGAUUUCAGAACAUUAGAUUCUCCAUCCCCACUGGGAGGAUAUGCUGAUCUAGAUCUGAGGAACAGGUGCUUUUAAAGAAGCAUGUGAAAGUAUCUCCUGCAGGAGAGCUCACUAUGCAGGGAAAGUCACACAGGACAGGGAAAAGUGGCUUCCCAACUUCCACGGGGCGAGCGAACCAGGGAGGGCACAGGAUGGUUGAGGAGUUUAUGAAAGGCCUGCAUCUCCCUGAAAGUCUUCCAGCAACCCUACAUCCCACAACUAUCCCAGGCUCACAGAGAUCAGCUCCUCGCCAUUCUGACAAGCAAACAAAAGGGAAGGCAAAGGACCUGAAGAAGAUGGAGGAGAAUAAUGAAAGCCUCCUUUAAA
rnacentral:lncRNA from 1 species